UGGGGAAUAUUGCACAAUGGGGGAAACCCUGAUGCAGCGACGCCGCGUGAACGAAGAAGGUAUUCGUAUCGUAAAGUUCUGUCCUAUGGGAAGAUAAUGACAGUACCAUAGAAGAAAGCUCCGGCUAAAUACGUGCCAGCAGCCGCGGUAAUACGUAUGGAGCGAGCGUUGUCCGGAUUUAUUGGGCGUAAAGCGAGCGCAGGCGGUCAAUUAAGUCUGAUGUGAAAGCCCCCGGCUCAACCGGGGAGGGUCAUUGGAAACUGGUUGACUUGAGUGCAGAAGAGGAGAGUGGAAUUCCAUGUGUAGCGGUGAAAUGCGUAGAUAUAUGGAGGAACACCAGUGGCGAAGGCGACUCUCUAGUCUGUAACUGACGCUGAGGCUCGAAAGCGUGGGUAGCAAACAGG
rnacentral:rRNA from 1 species